AAACCUUUCCCAGUCACUAAAUCCUGGCAACUGGACAGAGAAAACUGGAUUACAAAUUCAGGGUUUUCCACGACAACCAUACGGGAUUGACUGUGGCAUCUUCAUGUUGAUGAAUGCCUUUUACACCACACUGGAUGCUCCCUAUGACUUUUCUAUU